rnacentral:lncRNA from 1 species
AGCUUCUCUCGGGAGCCUCCACCCAGGCGCAUGGCUCCAUGAAGCAAGAGGAGGAGGCAGAGCGCGAGAGAUCCCGUCCGCCCCAGCCGCGUCUGGGCCAGGAGAAAAGCAAAACCAUAUUCCUGCUGCUGUCAGUUUUGAUGCACUGAGAAAACUUCAGAGACCUAAGCUUUUUCCAGAGAAGAGAAGCUUUACUGGUGUUCCAGCCCUAAGAAACCUUUGUUCAACAAAACUGCAGAUGCUCUGUUGAAUCCACUGGAGAUUGUCCUGAUACUAAGGACAAGUAUGCUCAUAUGACAUUAACAGACAAGACACUUUUCAGAAAGACAGGCAACGUGUUGGACCUUCCGGAGCUUCUCAGAAGACAGAGGGUUUUCUUUUGAGGUAAAUUUGAUAGUACAUUUUGAUAGUACAGGAGGCGAUACGGCAUGGUGACAGAAAAGCGCCGGCUUGGUUAGCGGGACCACCUGGCAGGGCUGCAGGCUGUGCCACUUACCAGGCAGGGGACCUUGGGCCAGCUGCUUGGCCUCACUCACCCUGUUUCCUCAGCUGCAAUUGGGAUGAACAGACUGCCUGCUUCGGGGUUGCCUAAAACUCACAUUGCUUAAUGAUGUGAAAUGCUUAGCGCAGUGCCUGGCAUAGAGAGAAUUCUCAUUAGAUGAUACCUCAGCUGGGCUUUAGGAGCUACAGAAGAAGCUGCAUCUCCAUGAGCUCAGCGUGUUUCUAGCUUUCCUUUUUGUUUUCUAUUCAACCUUUCACCCAACUCAGCUUCUCAAUCCCUAAAUGACAAAGGUUUGGGAAGGAAGACUUGGACCGAUGCUUGCAUUUGUUUCUGAGAAUUAAACGUUAUGUUUUCUUCAAUCCAAA